AUUGAACGCUGGCGGCAGGCCUAACACAUGCAAGUAGAACGAGUGGCGGACGGGUGAGUAAUGUCUGGGAAACUGCCUGAUGGAGGGGGAUAACUACUGGAAACGGUAGCUAAUACCGCAUACCAUCAGAUGUGCCCAGAUGGGAUUAGCUAGUUGGUGGGGUAACGGCUCACCAAGGCGACGAUCCCUAGCUGGUCUGAGAGGAUGACCAGCCACAAUGGAAAGGAGACAAGGUCCAGCCUCUGACGGGAGGCAGCAGGGGGGAUUAUUGCAAAAUGGGCGCAAUCAUGAUGCAGCCAUGCCGCGGGUAUGAAGAAGGCCUUCGGGUUGUAAAUUACGUUCAGCGGGGAGGCGUGACCCGCAGAAGAAGCACCGGCUAACUCCGUGCCAGCAGCCGCGGUAAUAC
rnacentral:rRNA from 1 species